rnacentral:sRNA from 1 species
AUCUUCCUGUAUAAUAGCUUUUGUAGAGAAGUUAAGGCGGUGGCGAUUCCUAAACAAAGGGGGUGGUGCUUAUGGUGUAAUAACCAUUAAGCCCAUAAUUCCUGAUGAAAGGAGUAGCCCUGUGUCUGUUUCAGACGCAAUACAAUUAAUGCUGGCUUUCGGUACUUUUACCGUGACCUUAAUUGCAU